AUUGAACGCUGGCGGCAUGCCUUACACAUGCAAGUCGAGCGGCAGCGCGGGGGCAACCCUGGCGGCGAGCGGCGAACGGGUGAGUAAUGCAUCGGAACGUGUCCUCUUGUGGGGGAUAACCAGUCGAAAGACUGGCUAAUACCGCAUGAGCUCGCAAGAGGAAAGCAGGGGACCCGCAAGGGCCUUGCGCGAGAGGAGCGGCCGAUGCCGGAUUAGCUAGUUGGUGGGGUAACGGCCCACCAAGGCGACGAUCCGUAGCUGGUCUGAGAGGACGACCAGCCACACUGGGACUGAGACACGGCCCAGACUCCUACGGGAGGCAGCAGUGGGGAAUUUUGGACAAUGGGCGCAAGCCUGAUCCAGCCAUGCCGCGUGUGUGAAGAAGGCCUUCGGGUUGUAAAGCACUUUCGGACGGAACGAAAUCGCGCGGGCGAAUAUCCCGCGUGGAUGACGGUACCGUAAGAAGAAGCACCGGCUAACUACGUGCCAGCAGCCGCGGUAACAC
rnacentral:rRNA from 1 species